rnacentral:rRNA from 1 species
UACGAAGGGUGCAAACGUUGCUCGGAAUUAUUGGGCGUAAAGAGCUCGUAGGCGGCUUGUCACGUCGAUUGUGAAAGCCCGAGGCUUAACCUCGGGUCUGCAGUCGAUACGGGCUAGCUAGAGUGUGGUAGGGGAGAUCGGAAUUCCUGGUGUAGCGGUGAAAUGCGCAGAUAUCAGGAGGAACACCGGUGGCGAAGGCGGAUCUCUGGGCCAUUACUGACGCUGAGGAGCGAAAGCGUGGGGAGCGAACAGG